rnacentral:sRNA from 1 species
GGUCUCUGCUAGUUGUGCCGUUAGCCUUUCAGUCUAGGGAAGAUUCUGUGGCCCGUGCACAGCAAAGCUAUGCAGAGUUCUUUGCCCAGAGUCUCUGUUGAAUGAACAGGUUGAUUCCACAAGCUGCCUGCAGAAAUUUGGUCUUGUUACCUCAUAGUGAGUGAGUCAUUAGUCUCCAAUAAAAGUUCUUCAUGACCUCAACAGAUGGAAAUCUGGUUUAAAAUUGUAGUUAUGUGCCCUGUCUUAAAUGUUAGUGAAUUUCGUGGAGAAGGCUUCCUGCCAAUGACUAAUAAGAAAUGUCGGGAAAAUGUAACAUUUUCAUUCUGGCAUUGAAGUAUUAAAACUUAAUAUCUCAACAACAUGCUUUUGAGCAUUUGGCAUAGAUGACAGCACUGUUGAAAUGAAAUAGUGUGAUUAAAUACCAGUCAUUUUUAUUGCUUUCUGUCACUGCAAAUGGAAGAAUUCAGAUCAUCUGUGGCCCAAUUACUACGUAUAAUACAAAUCCUUUUUCUUUCCCCACCGUGUUAACCCUGAUCAGGAUUUUAUUGAUAUUCAUAGAGGAUAUGGAGCAUAACUAAGAAAGGUGCUGUUUAGGCAAAGGAAAUUCAAAUUAUGGUGUGUUGCUCUUUGGGGUCAUGUGUUGAAAUGUGUGUGCAAAGGCAGCCUAGGAAGAAAAAAUAAAUGGAGAUGAUUUUUGUUUCUAGGUAGCAGCACCGCCUGCAUUGUGGUGCUGGACAGAACCAGCCACCGCUUACACACAGCAAACCUGGGCGAUUCAGGCUUCCUGGUUGUCAGGGGUGGUGAAGUCGUGCACCGAUCAGAUGAGCAGCAGCAUUACUUCAACACUCCAUUCCAGCUCUCAAUCGCUCCCCCUGAAGCCGAGGGAGUCGUCUUGAGCGACAGUCCGGAUGCUGCUGAUAGCACGUCUUUCGAUGUCCAGUUAGGAGACAUUAUCCUGACGGCAACAGAUGGACUCUUUGACAACAUGCCUGAUUAUAUGAUCCUUCAGGAGCUAAAAAAGUUAAAGAAUUCAAAUUAUGAGAGUAUACAACAGACUGCCAGAAGCAUUGCUGAGCAAGCUCAUGAGCUGGCCUAUGACCCAAAUUAUAUGUCACCUUUUGCACAGUUUGCAUGUGACAAUGGAUUGAAUGUGAGAGGUGGAAAGCCAGAUGACAUCACCGUCCUUCUUUCAAUAGUGGCUGAGUAUACAGACUAGCCGAGGUGUCAAGUCCUGCCUUUCCUUUCAUCAUCCCAAAUUUCCCCUGCCAUGUGUGCUGAUCCUGCUGGCAGGACCACAUUUCUUUGCCACUGAUCUCAAUGGCCAGUGACGUAAGUCUUUUGCCUGUCUUCUUGAGACCCGUUGAGAUCUUUGUUGAGAACCACUACUAUCAUUCACUAGCUCAUAUCUGCCGGCAGCAAUUGAAGAGAUCCAAGAUUUGAAGAUUGGCCUUCAUUUCUCGAUGUUCUUUCCAUGAUGGGGAUGG